GUUUCAACCUAGAAACAGAAACGGAACCAGAAGCCCAGGAGGGUAGGGGUAAAAGAAAAAGAAAGCGAAUUAACAUUGAUUUUGAGAGUGAGGACGAAGAAAGACAGUCGAGGAAAAACCUUCCUCGACUGUCUAAACCACCUGCGGUGCCCAUCAUCAGAAGUCACCAAGCGACAUCAUCCACCACCAGCAGCCACUUUCAUAACACAUCAAACACAGUUACCAUUGCCACCCACCACCCAUCUGCACCUAUCGGGCAUAUCAUUCAUCCAUUAGUGUUGGAAAGACCGACCUACUGGGCAUGCGCCAAGUAGCAGUAUAGCAGCAACGUAGCAGUAAGAUCGGCAGUGGAUGGCGAGUGCCGGAGUGGACUAUGAAGGAAAACCUUAAUGUGUGUAGUGUGCGUCAUUGCUGAGGAUACCACACAUACUAUCACGCAUGCCUACUGAUGUUACUGUGCUGUUCGUAUGCCAAAGCCUGAUUAAAGAACACGACUGCAUGUGAUGGGCUGCUGAGUGUUCUGAUCGACACACCGGGAAGACACCCAAUAUCACCUAUACAGUCCUUUCUGCUAGCGCUAUCUAACAAUUAGCUACGCCCACCAACUCCAUCCAAAGUGAAACGGGAUCUGGAACGAGAACUCCUCUAUCAGAAUACAACUUUCAGCUUAAAGUUUUUAGGGCCAUAGAGGAGGUCAAGGCAAUAGCUCUGAACAAUGCCAAGAUGCUGCAAGCACUUCUGACCCAACAGGCUGCUAAUAAUUCUGUGGAAGAGCUGGACCCAUUGGAUGAGCUCGCGCUUCCAGCCUCCAGCUCAGAAGACUUAGAAGCUCUGAACCGGGCACUUGAGUCCGGAGCAGUCAGAAAAACAGUGGUGCACCAUCUGGCAGUCAUUGGAGGAAGGGAUCUGAGAGCUGCUGUGUAUAAUAUUUUACCAAAGAUCGUCACAAACCGCCUUGCAGAACAAUACAGCCUCUAUGGACGGAAAGGCAAAAAAAAUUUCUCUGCUCACAAGCACUUGGUGGCCGUGAUAUUUAGUACCGUAUUUUCCGGAGUAUAAGUCGCACUUUUUUUCAUAGUUUGGCUGGGGGUGCGACCUAUACUCCGGAGCGACGUA